UUUUUUGCCUAUAACAAAAUUUAGAACACAGCAUUCCUCCUUUUACCUACAACUUAUCUAAAUGUUCAAUUUAUUUUUUUCAGUUGCCUGACUCAAUUCUCCUUUAUAUCUCAUGUUAUUUCUGACAGAAGGGAUGUUUGAUAGCUGUUUUUCAUGUGUAAUCUCUGAUUUCCCUAAAAUCUGUAUCAUAUUGCAUACGGAAAACAAAAGACCGUAACAAAUACAGCAACAUCAUACGACUGUAUUUCUGAUACAGAACAGAUACGUAAGUCAUAACAACUACUUCUUUGCUCUCACUGACCUUUGACGCACGCUUUUUUCUUCAUAGAAAAAAUGGUACGUGUUGUUGCUGGGAGAAACAGGAGAAGAGGGAAAUUUGAAAGUUUUAUCUGUGAAGCUUAAUUUACAGGCUGAAUUUUAUAACCAAUUGAUGUAGUGCCUUUUCAUGUACAUUCUUCAGCUGGAACUGCUUAUGUAGUCAAUUAUCUGUUUUAGCAUUUGUUUCUAAUAGUGUUCAUAAUGUGUAAACCAUGCUUUAGAAACAAGACAGUUGCUGGACUGGACAAUUGACUAAUGCGUAGUUUAGUGUGAUGUUGCUACAGCAACCGAAAAGAUGAAAUAGUAUGUCAUAUAUUAUUUACACAUUGCUUGGAACAUACAGCUUUCUAAAAUCCAUUAGCCAAGCAGAGGGUGCUGUUAUGGAGGAGACGAGGAUGUCUUAAAGCAUUCUAAAAUAGUUUCCAUUGUUCUGGAGGAGCAGACACGUAAAUAAAUCAGAGUGAAGCACUGCAAAAUAAAGGAACCUUACUUUCUGAGCAUAUGUUAUCAGUAUUUCUGAUUUUACAGUUACCAGAAGAUUUGUGAACAUACGUCUAGAUCAUGGACAGAUUUUUUACUUUUUACUUCAGAAGUGCACAUUUGUGUUCCACAGCUAGGCAUGCAGAAAUCUUGUAGACCUUGUGAUACACACAGAAAAACUGCUACUGUCUGAAUGAAGGCUCAAGAAGUUCUCAAAAUGGAGGCUAUGACCUUGCUCCAAACAGAUCUCCUCAGCACAUAGCUGUACCAGUCCUCUGCUACAGAUAAUUGCCACUCCUACUCCCUGCAGGUGCACACAGAAACUGGUAUGAAAACAAAACCAGUGUGUUGGUGGUGGUGAGGGAAAAUAAACAUAACAGACAUAUUGGAAAAUACAUAUUGGCAGAUUUCCUGAAGGAAGCUAUUUAUGCAUUGUUUGCAAGUGAUCUGGAAAAUGUGCAAUUUAUAGUGUUAUCACGAGAAACAGUACCCAAGAUGGGGUUAAAAUUUUAGAUUCACCAACAAAGUGCACAUUUUGGAUAAGGCAGUGAACAAAACAUCUGGAAAGGAGUCUGGAGAUGUUUUCCAGACCACAGCAGAAAGAUUAAUGACCCAGUCUGUCAAGCUAAAAUGGAAGCUUACAGAGGGACUGGAGAAGGUUUUGAUUUAAGAAAAAAAGGG
ensembl:lncRNA